rnacentral:rRNA from 1 species
UACGAAGGGGGCUAGCGUUGCUCGGAAUCACUGGGCGUAAAGCGCACGUAGGCGGCUUUCUAAGUCAGGGGUGAAAUCCUGGAGCUCAACUCCAGAACUGCCUUUGAUACUGGAGAGCUCGAGUCCGGAAGAGGUGAGUGGAACUCCGAGUGUAGAGGUGAAAUUCGUAGAUAUUCGGAAGAACACCAGUGGCGAAGGCGGCAUCCUGGACCGACACUGACACUGAGGAGCGAAAGCCAGGGGAGCAAACGGG